UUGCCCGCAGACACCCUGGGCCACAUCGAGGGCUAAUGGGCCUGUUCUGGGAGUUCAUCGUGGCGGAACUUUUGCAAUCCUCUGUCUGCUCCACUGCGCACUCUCCAUCGCCCCCAGAGCUACACCCAAUCCCUCGCUCUCUCGGCGAGAUCCAAGACGGCCGCGUCAGCUGGGAGCGGACGCACGCGAGAGGAGUUCGAUGAGCGUGAGCUGGAGGUGGCUGCCAUUCUCGCGGAACUGUAGUCCAUCGUGCGGGCCAGUCAGUAGGAGCAGGCGCGGCCAGAGAUCCCCUCAUGGGGCCGGCGCCAGCCGAGGAAGGCCCUAGCGGCACCGCCGUCCGAGAAGCCCGCGGCAGAUAGCCCGGACACCCCGGAUAGCCGGACGACGAGGCGGCGGCAGUGCAUGACAAGUCGGCGUAGGAGCAGUGCGGCGAUUUUGACGAGUAGGAGAUGGAGCACGUCACAAGCACCCCGACUGCACCCUGAGGUUAUCCAUCAGGUAGACUAUCAUCACACUGCGGUUCAUGAUGCUGCUCCCAAGCUUCCCGGCAAGAUUGUGCGAGUCACAACUUGCAUGACGCAGAUUCUUUUGCUAUACUUCGGAAGCCGGCAAUAGCAGCGGCAACAUCGACGACGCAUCCACGGGCUGGACAAAACUUGAUUAGCUUACUACUGCAUCAAUAAUUUGUGCCUGCAGGACUCUUUCACAGAUCAUGUCAACGAGAUUACCAAUUUGAAGAGGCUGCACAUGAUCUGAAAAUAUUGGCAUAUACAGUCCUGAACAUAAGUUUCAAAAUAGCAAGUCCGUUGUAGCAGUCAAUUUUCCUAAUGUACUGUAACCUCAUUUGCAUCUGCCUAACCUUUCCUAACUACCUCUCUGUGGUUGGUUGAAGGUGUGGAGUUUAGUCUUGUUCCGCUGUGAGGAAAGCCAUGACCUCCACACAGAUGAUGCAAGUGGAAACAAGCUAGACUCUCAACUUUGGUUUUCAGGCAUCUUCACCAACAAAUAUUACCCUGGUACUGACAGGUUGUUAGUAUUAUAUAAGUAUACUUGUUCAGCCUUUCCAUUGCUGGUCCGAAUAUUUAAACAAGGAAGCAGGCUCAGUUGCUCACCAACCUACUAUUGCUGCCAAUAAGUAGCCAGAAGCCUAUAGAGUGAUAGAAGACAUCUGCAUUGAUCACAGAAAAAUGAAGUAUUGAAUUUGUAGGAUGUUGUCAACAUUGUCAUCCUAAUCUGGUUCCCACAUAUUCAAGAUGUGGAGAUUAGCCCUUUGCUCCAACAAAGCCAUGACCUUCAAUUUUGUUGUUAAUUUAACAACUGUCUUGGUUGUGCCGAUCGAUCGGCCUAUAAGAUCCAAUUUGGUCCUGUGAACUAAAGCUUCCUAUUUUUCAUGAUUAUAUUAAGAGCUUCCUAUAUUUCAUGAUUAUAUUAAGAACUCACAUAUCUCCUUCAGUGCCACACCUGACCGGCACAUCAUCCAGAUUCAAGAGAGCCCUACUACUGCAUCCACCCUAGAAUCAUAUCUCCGUCUCGUGUGAACCAAUUUUAAGCCCGAUUGAUGGCAAGUGCAUUGCAUGUGUAAGUAAUCUGGGUUGAACCUAAUUGAGGUCUUCCAUCACUUUUAUUACUUCAAUAGAAAUUUUACACAUUGUACGAACUACCCAUUAAUUAAUGGGCAACUGAUAUACAUGAUGCAUGGUUGAUAAUAGCUACUUCAGGUUAUCCCUUCUGCUAUAUUUUUCGUACUCACUGCUUUUGUGAGAUCUGAACUGGUAGAGAAAAUAGCCUGGGAUAUUCGUUUCUCACCAACAGAGGUAGUAAGGACUUACCGUAUUGAUUAGUCAUUUGAAGAGUUAACCAGAAAACAUUUAGUAUAUCUUCAGUUAUGUUGUCAUGGGCUGUGCCCAUGAUUCACAGACAAAAAAACAACACCGUGCAUUGUUUUUUACAUGCAUGGAGCAUAUACAAGAAUUUGCUACUAUGGACUAAAAAUAAUCACCAGCUAGCUGAAUCAAAGGACACUCUAUGGGAAGGUGAACAAGCAUACUAAACAACACGAAGCAGAGUAAUUCCAAGAUAUUUUGAGAAUUCAUUGCAGUGGACUAUGUUGUGAUUCGAUUUUUCUUAACCUUGAUAAUAUUGUCUUGAAUUUGAAAUGAUGGUGUACAUUUAUUCUUCUUCUUUUUAUAGUUGUGAAGACCAAAUUUAGAAAAUUUUACUGCUUGUGAUUUCAAUCGGGUUAGAGAGGCUUCUGUCAAAUAUAACAAAUCGAGGACUUCAGAGCCUGGCUGCAGACCUCGCGAGCACCAAUGACAGCCUCAAGCAGAUUCAGCAGAGCAAGGUGAUGAGUACCCAGCUGGCUGGUCAAUCUGAAUGAUCUUAUCGGCCAGCAAAGCGGAGAUGGAUGACCACGGUCCUGACCUUAGCAGCAGACAGUGAGUCUUCUCCCUCUGAAACCUGAACGUGGAUGCCCGCCUAAGUCCGCUGAAACCUUUUUCCCUUUGUCGCCGUGGAUAGGAGACAGUAAAUGGGAUCAAGGGAAGUUGGUAGGGCUCCAGCGGCACAUGCUUACCACUGCUGGCUGUUAGCGGGAAAGAACCAAACACUAACGAUAAGAGAGAUGAAUGUGCAGUAUGCUAAAUUUGGGUAUCCAACUACAGAAGAAAUGGAUUUUUAUUUAUAUUAGAAGCUAGGUUAUCACUUUUGAUUUUAAAUUGAUCGCUCAUGGACAGUGGCAUCUUAAUUGGCCAUAAACACAGCCUAAUUCAAUACCUCCCAUCAAAUUGGCAACUAAAGGGAAGGUGAGUUUAAAUGUCUCAGCCCCUGUGACCUGGCUGGCCUUUGUGUUAGAAGAUUCAAAGGGAAUGAAAAGUUGGAGGCAACAAGGCCACCUCUUAUCUGGGUUCUUUACAUAAAAAUAGUGAGGGUCAUAUAAUCUGCCAUCGAUUUUGAUAAUUUCAUCAUGUCCCACCAAUUUAUACAUGUGUAUGAUUCGAAAUCAAUAAGCCAACUCAAGGAGUGGGUCCCGGAAUACAAGCAGGAAGAAAAGAGAAGGAAUUAAAAGGAGUAAACUCGGCUCUUAUGUAAGCAAUAAGGAAAGAAAUUAUUCCACUCAUAAGGAAAGAGAAGGAAUUAAAGGAAGUAAAUUCGGCUCUCAUGUAAGAAAAAUGGAAAGGAAUUAUUCCACUCAUAAGGAAAGAGAAGAAAUUAAAAUAAGGAGAAAACUCGGCUCUUAUAUAAGCAGAAAGGAAAGAAAUUAUUUCACUCAUAAGGAAAGGGAAGAGAUUAAAAGGAGUAAAUUCGGCUCUUAUAAAGCAAAAAAUGAAAGAAAUAUGAAGGAAUAAAAUUUGCUCUUAUGUAUGAGCAUUAAAGGAAAAGAAUAAAAAGAACGAUGUUGUUGCUGGAUGUGCACGGGCCGAGAAGGGAGCAAUUAAAAUAAAUAGGGUCUUUUACAUCUGUGUCCCUAACUCGAACCCACUACUCACAUUUGCCCCUAAUUCGAAAGCCUGCUCAAAAAUGCCCCUCCGCCGUUACGUGCCCUUACAGAAAUGCCCUUUUGCGCCGUUACCGUCCGGUCAAAGCCGGUCAAAGGGCAUUGACCGGCCCCCAAAAAAUAGCAAAAAAAAUCUAAAAAAUCUGAAAAUUUGUGAGAUCAAAGAUACUCAGGUUCGCAAGGUGCGUGCAAUUUUUCGUGCUGUUUGGGCAUUCCAGGAGCUCGUGUCAAAGGAAAAAUAGUAAAUAUGUAAGCCUGUGAACAGUAAAUUCAAAAAAAUAACAAGAAAGUUCAAAAAAAUAUGAAAUUUUUUGGCAUCAAAGAGGCUAUGGUCUAAAAGCUGCGUGCCAAUUUUUGUUGUGUUUGGACAUUGGAGGGGCUUGUGGAGAAAAAAACAAAAUCUGGCCCGGGAAAAAACUUGGGAAAAAAUGACUAUUUUGUUUUUUCUUGCGAGAGCUCCUCGCAAGUCAUUUGAUCACAAAAACUUGCAAGCACCUUGUGCACCCAAGCCUCUUUGAUGCCAAAAAUUUCAUAUUUUUUUGAAUUUUCUUGCUAUUUUAUUUCAAAUUUACUGUUCACAAGCGUGCAUAUUAACUGUUUUUCCUCGCCACGAGCUCCUGGAAUGUCCAAAUAGCACAAUAAUUUGCACGCACCUUGCGCACAUGAGUAUCUUCGAUCUCACAAAAUUUUAGAUUUUUUAAAAAAAAAUUGCUAUUUUUUUCAGAACGGUCAAAGUUGUUUGACCGGACGGUAACGGCGCAAAAGAGCAUUUCUGUAAGGGCACGUAACGGCGGAGGGGCAUUUUUGAGCAGGCUUUCGAAUUAGGGGUAUAUCUGAUUAGGUGGUUCGAGUUAGGGACAGAAAUGCAAAUGGCCCAAAUAAAUAACAUCGGUUGCGUGCGUGCACUUGCACAUGGUCUAAUUCAAUGGCCCUUCUCUUCUCGCAUACAAAAAAGUUGGCCGGCAAUGACCAUUCAUAUUUUUCUGUUGUUUUGAAUCUGUGGGGUACAUAUAAAUUAUGCUUGGUUAUUUUUAUAUUACAUCCCAUAUUAUGUGUACUCAUUUGAUCUAAGGUUAUUUUUACUAACUUGGUUUUUUUGUCACAAACAAACCGAUGAACCGGCGGUCCAACCGGUAACAGCUGCAACGGUUUGGUUGCCCGUUCGCUUUUAAAAAAUAUAGUCUGAUGGCCAUGGUGAAAGAACACGACAUGAAGUGCUUUGUAUCCCUAGAAUGAUGAGGAGACACGAGCAUGAAGUGUUUUGUUUGGGCCAAGCACUGCCGCCGCCUGCUCGUGUCUCCUCGUCAUUCAAUAUGU